CGCUUGCUUAGCGACGAGACACUGUCAUGUCUCCUGAAUAACUGAUUACAGCAAUUAAUUUUAUGAAGCAACGAGACUGCGGUGGUUCCUAAUGCUAUUGAUACGGUAUUUGGUCACCAAAGACAUGGCAGAAAUUCGUCUGAAAAAAAAUUAAAAGUGGUGACAUUGCUUGUCCUCCCUACUGUAUGGUAUAUCCUUAUACUGUGAUUGCGAAACAAAUGACAAACUGUGCUGCAGUCACCUUCGCAGGUUGAAUAUCUUGGCUGUUCAUAAUCCCGCCAGUUGUAGCCGAUUGUAUUACCAAAAAUGAAUUUUAUUCAAAUAUAAUAAAUGAAAAGGGUUAAGAACAA